rnacentral:rRNA from 1 species
GGGUUGUGAGGUUAAGCGACUAAGCGUACACGGUGGAUGCCCUGGCAGUCAGAGGCGAUGAAGGACGUGCUAAUCUGCGAUAAGCGCCGGUAAGGUGAUAUGAACCGUUAUAACCGGCGAUUUCCGAAUGGGGAAACCCAGUGUGAUUCGUCACACUAUCAUUAACUGAAUCCAUAGGUUAAUGAGGCGAACCGGGGGAACUGAAACAUCUAAGUACCCCGAGGAAAAGAAAUCAACCGAGAUUCCCCCAGUAGCGGCGAGCGAACGGGGAGGAGCCCAGAGCCUGAAUCAGCAUGUGUGUUAGUGGAAGCGUCUGGAAAGGUGCGCGAUACAGGGUGACAGCCCCGUACACAAAAGCGCAUGUGCUGUGAGCUCGAUGAGUAGGGCGGGACACGUGGUAUCCUGUCUGAAUAUGGGGGGACCAUCCUCCAAGGCUAAAUACUCCUGACUGACCGAUAGUGAACCAGUACCGUGAGGGAAAGGCGAAAAGAACCCCGGCGAGGGGAGUGAAAAAGAACCUGAAACCGUGUACGUACAAGCAGUGGGAGCACAGGUUUACCUGUGUGACUGCGUACCUUUUGUAUAAUGGGUCAGCGACUUAUAUUCUGUAGCAAGGUUAACCGUAUAGGGGAGCCGUAGGGAAACCGAGUCUUAACCGGGCGUUAAGUUGCAGGGUAUAGACCCGAAACCCGGUGAUCUAGCCAUGGGCAGGUUGAAGGUUGGGUAACACUAACUGGAGGACCGAACCGACUAAUGUUGAAAAAUUAGCGGAUGACCUGUGGCUGGGGGUGAAAGGCCAAUCAAACCGGGAGAUAGCUGGUUCUCCCCGAAAGCUAUUUAGGUAGCGCCUCGUGAAUUCAUCUCCGGGGGUAGAGCACUGUUUCGGCUAGGGGGCCAUCCCGGCUUACCAACCCGAUGCAAACUGCGAAUACCGGAGAAUGUUAUCACGGGAGACACACGGCGGGUGCUAACGUCCGUCGUGAAGAGGGAAACAACCCAGACCGCCAGCUAAGGUCCCAAAGUCAUGGUUAAGUGGGAAACGAUGUGGGAAGGCCCAGACAGCCAGGAUGUUGGCUUAGAAGCAGCCAUCAUUUAAAGAAAGCGUAAUAGCUCACUGGUCGAGUCGGCCUGCGCGGAAGAUGUAACGGGGCUAAACCAUGCACCGAAGCUGCGGCAGCGAACGUAUCACCCAAGACAACUUUACGGAGUUGACGAUUGACGGAGCGAAGCGACGUCAAAGCGUUCAUUAAAGUCGAGUUGGCUUAGGGAUACGUUCGUUGGGUAGGGGAGCGUUCUGUAAGCCUGUGAAGGUGUGUCGUGAGGCAUGCUGGAGGUAUCAGAAGUGCGAAUGCUGACAUAAGUAACGAUAAAGCGGGUGAAAAGCCCGCUCGCCGGAAGACCAAGGGUUCCUGUCCAACGUUAAUCGGGGCAGGGUGAGUCGACCCCUAAGGCGAGGCCGAAAGGCGUAGUCGAUGGGAAACGGGUUAAUAUUCCCGUACUUGGUGUUACUGCGAAGGGGGGACGGAGAAGGCUAUGUUGGCCGGGCGACGGUUGUCCCGGUUUAAGCGUGUAGGUGUGUGUUCCAGGUAAAUCCGGUUCACUUUAACACUGAGGCGUGACGACGAGGCACUACGGUGCUGAAGCAACAAAUGCCCUGCUUCCAGGAAAAGCCUCUAAGCAUCAGGUAACACGAAAUCGUACCCCAAACCGACACAGGUGGUCAGGUAGAGAAUACCAAGGCGCUUGAGAGAACUCGGGUGAAGGAACUAGGCAAAAUGGUGCCGUAACUUCGGGAGAAGGCACGCUGACACGUAGGUGAAGUGAUUUACUCAUGGAGCUGAAGUCAGUCGAAGAUACCAGCUGGCUGCAACUGUUUAUUAAAAACACAGCACUGUGCAAACACGAAAGUGGACGUAUACGGUGUGACGCCUGCCCGGUGCCGGAAGGUUAAUUGAUGGGGUCAGCGUAAGCGAAGCUCCUGAUCGAAGCCCCGGUAAACGGCGGCCGUAACUAUAACGGUCCUAAGGUAGCGAAAUUCCUUGUCGGGUAAGUUCCGACCUGCACGAAUGGCGUAAUGAUGGCCAGGCUGUCUCCACCCGAGACUCAGUGAAAUUGAACUCGCUGUGAAGAUGCAGUGUACCCGCGGCAAGACGGAAAGACCCCGUGAACCUUUACUAUAGCUUGACACUGAACAUUGAGCCUUGAUGUGUAGGAUAGGUGGGAGGCUUUGAAGUGUGGACGCCAGUCUGCAUGGAGCCGACCUUGAAAUACCACCCUUUAAUGUUUGAUGUUCUAACGUGGACCCGUAAUCCGGGUUGCGGACAGUGUCUGGUGGGUAGUUUGACUGGGGCGGUCUCCUCCUAAAGAGUAACGGAGGAGCACGAAGGUUGGCUAAUCCUGGUCGGACAUCAGGAGGUUAGUGCAAUGGCAUAAGCCAGCUUGACUGCGAGCGUGACGGCGCGAGCAGGUGCGAAAGCAGGUCAUAGUGAUCCGGUGGUUCUGAAUGGAAGGGCCAUCGCUCAACGGAUAAAAGGUACUCCGGGGAUAACAGGCUGAUACCGCCCAAGAGUUCAUAUCGACGGCGGUGUUUGGCACCUCGAUGUCGGCUCAUCACAUCCUGGGGCUGAAGUAGGUCCCAAGGGUAUGGCUGUUCGCCAUUUAAAGUGGUACGCGAGCUGGGUUUAGAACGUCGUGAGACAGUUCGGUCCCUAUCUGCCGUGGGCGCUGGAGAACUGAGGGGGGCUGCUCCUAGUACGAGAGGACCGGAGUGGACGCAUCACUGGUGUUCGGGUUGUCAUGCCAAUGGCACUGCCCGGUAGCUAAAUGCGGAAGAGAUAAGUGCUGAAAGCAUCUAAGCACGAAACUUGCCCCGA